rfam:Acidithrix ferrooxidans strain Py-F3 AXFE_contig000099, whole genome shotgun sequence.
GAGAGCCGGAUGCGGUGAGAGUCGCAAGUCCGGUUCGGAGGGCGGACCAGAGAAACCCACCAGUUGAAAGGCUGGCAGGGCGCUCUGGUCCGACCCUAC